GUCGCCAAGGUCCCUUUCGUCGCAGGCGAUUUUGCGGAGCACCCGUCGCAUGAUCUUACCUGCAGAGAGCACAGGGCAGAGGUGACGGUCUCUCUAAAAAGACAACCUGCAGCUGAUUCAGACCCCUGCUGCUCAAGUCCUAACCAAGACUAACAAAGACCCCCCCCC